UACGUAGGGUGCGAGCGUUAAUCGGAAUUACUGGGCGUAAAGCGUGCGCAGGCGGCUUUGCAAGACAGAUGUGAAAUCCCCGGGCUCAACCUGGGAACUGCAUCUGUGACUGCACAGCUAGAGUACGGUAGAGGGGGAUGGAAUUCCGCGUGUAGCAGUGAAAUGCGUAGAUAUGCGGAGGAACACCGAUGGCGAAGGCAAUCCCCUGGGCCUGCACUGACGCUCAUGCACGAAAGCGUGGGGAGCAAACAGG
rnacentral:rRNA from 1 species